rnacentral:rRNA from 1 species
GAUGAACGCUGACAGAAUGCUUAACACAUCAGCAAUUGAGUGGUGGCGGACGGGUGAGUAACGCGUAAAGAACUUGCCUCACAGCUAGGGACAACAUUUGGAAACGAAUGCUAAUACCUAAUAAUGUGGGAGAGCUUGGCGUCCCAUUAGCUAGUUGGCGAGGUAACGGGUCACCAAGGCGAUGAUGGGUAGCCGGCCUGAGCGGGUGAUCGGCCACAAGGGGACUGAGACACAGCCCUUACUCCUACGGGGGGAAGCAGUGGGGAAUAUUGGAGAAUGGACCAAAGUCUGAUCCAGCUAUUCUGUGUGCACGAUGAAGUUUUCGGAAUGUAAAGUGCUUUCAGUUGGGAAGCGGUACCAACAGAAGAAGUGACGGCUAACUACGUGCCAGCAGCCGCGGUAAUAC